GGGGAGGGAGGGAGGGAGGGAGGGUGGGUGGGAGGGAGCGAGGGAGCGAGGGAGGGAGGAAGGGAGGGAUCGGGUGAAGGGACAGACAGAGGGGUACAGAAAGAGGGGCGAAGACACAGAGACAGAGAAACAGAGAGAGAGAGAGAUGACAUUCAGUGUCAGUAUGUAUGCCUGAAGCAGAAAGAGAGUGGCCUGCUCUCUGAGCUGUACCCUGGUUAACUGCAGCUAGCCAAGCAGUCAUGCCUCUUUUAUUAGAUUUCAGAGAAUGAUGUCAUUUCUAAAGGUGCAGUGACUAUAUUAGCAAUUUUACAGUAAGUGAUGUCAUUGGAGAAUUAGUUUACUGGCCUAUGGUUGGCCAGAGAGAGCAUUCCGGGAAUGCAGGCAGCAGGAUAGAAGGGAUGUGGUAUAAUUCUAUUCAUCAGACUUAUUAUAGUACCACUCAGUGAUAAACUAAAUAAAGCCAGAGGAAAUCAUGAUGAUUCAAUCAUAACAACAGGAACUCCUGUACUGACCAACAUACACUGUAAACUGUUAACACUGACAGUAAGUAAACAUCAGAACAAAUUCAUCUAAACAGAAGAUCAAAACAGAAUUCAAACAAAUAUUAUGCUUUCAUUUCAUUGUAACAUAAUUGUUUAUAUUGAUAUUUUACACUCAGCAUUUAAAUGUAGUAAAAACAGGCAGGUUUCUAGAUUCUGAUUUAGAUUCUAUACUGUACUGGAGUUAGUAGCACACCAAUAGGGAUAUAGGGGGAGAGAGGGAGGGGAGGAAGAGAGAGAGAGAGAGAGAGAGAGAGAGAGAGGGGAGGGGAAAGAGAGAGAAAGAGAGAUGGAGAGAAAAAAGAGAGGCAGAGAGAGAAAAGAGAGAUAGUGGGGAAAUGGUAGUGUAUUUACAGCACAUCAAACAUUUUCUGUUUUCUGAGUAAAAAGAAUGUUAUAUAAUUAUAUAUAUAUAUAUAUUUAUAUAUUUAUAUUGAAAUCCCGCACUGUGACCGCACAGGGAUGCUGUUUUUGCAUGGGUGUGUUGUAUGGUACUGUGGUGGACUCUAGGGAGUUGUAUUGUAAUGUAAUGUAUUGUAAUACAUUGUAAUGUAGUAUAUUGUAUUGUAAUGUACUGUAUUGUAAUGUACUGUAUUGUAAUGUGUUAUAAUGUAUUGUAUUGUAUCGUAAUGUAUUAUAAUGUAUUGUAUUGUAUCGUAAUGUAUUAUAAUGUAUUGUAUUGUAAUGUACUGUAUUGUAAUGUGUUAUAAUGUAAUGUACUGUAUUGUAAUGUACUGUAUUGUAAUGCGUUAUAAUGUAUUGUAAUGUGUUAUAAUGUAAUGUAUUGUAUUGUAUUGUAAUGUAUUAUAAUGUAUUGUAUUGUAAUGUACUGUAUUGUAAUGUGUUAUAAUGUAUUGUAUUGUAUUGUAAUGUAUUAUAAUGUAUUGUAUUGUAUUGUAAUGUAUUAUAAUGUGUUAUAAUGUAUUAUAAUGUAUUGUAUUGUAACGUAUUGUAUUGUAUUGUAUUGUAAUGUGUUAUAAUGUAAUGUAUUGUAUUGUAUUGUAAUGUAUUAUAAUGUAUUGUAAUGUGUUAUAAUGUAUUGUAUUGUAUUGUAAUGUAUUAUAAUGUAAUGUAUUGUAAUGUAUUGUAUUGUAUUAUAAUGUAUUGUAAUGUAUUGUAUUGUAUUGU
ensembl:lncRNA